CCUACGGGUGACAGCAGUGGGGAAUAUUGCGCAAUGGGGGAAACCCUGACGCAGCAACGCCGCGUGCAGGAAGAAGGCUUUCGGUUGUAAACUUCUUUUAAGGGGGAAGAGCAGAAGACGGUACCCCUUGAAUAAGCCACGGCUAACUACGUGCCAGCAGCCGCGGUAAUACGUAGGUGGCAAGCGUUGUCCGGAUUUACUGGGUGGAAAGGGCGUGCAGCCGGAGAGACAAGUCAGAUGUGAAAUCCACGGGCUCAACCCGUGAACUGCAUUUGAAACUGUUUCCCUUGAGUGUCGGAGAGGUAAUCGGAAUUCCUUGUGUAGCGGUGAAAUGCGUAGAUAUAAGGAAGAACACCAGUGGCGAAGGCGGAUUACUGGACGAUAACUGACGGUGAGGCGCGAAAGCGUGGGGAGCAAACAGGAUUAGAUACCCUAGUAGUC
rnacentral:rRNA from 1 species